rnacentral:lncRNA from 1 species
AGACAGCAGAGAGAAGAGCCUGCAGGAUGAGUGCGAAGGAUUGCUGUGGACAGAGGUGGGCCAGGGCUCAGCUCGAGGGCUCCCAGGGAAAGGAGCCUGGGGUGGCCUGGGCACCGUGUGUGUGUGUGUGUAUGUGUGUGCGCGCGCCCAUGCAUGUCUGGGCCUGAGGGUGGCGGUGCCUACGUGAGGCCCUGCGGUCUCUUCAGGAGCUCCCCGAGAGGGGCACUUGGCCACUGUUGGAGCUGAGAGGGGCCUGGCCCAGCUCACCCGCCUCUCCUGCUUCUCACCCAGCCCCUGCUGCUGAGAGCUCUGGCAGCCUCCGUGUGCACAGCAGGCCUGGGCUCAGUCACAGGUAGCUCUUCUGUCUGCU